UCUCCGUAGGUGAACCUGCGGAGGGAUCAUUACAGAGUUCAUGCCCUCACGGGUAGAUCUCCCACCCUGUGCUAUUAUACUUUGUUGCUUUGGCAGGCCGCCCGCGUGGGCUACCGGCUCCAGCUGGUAAGUGCCUGCCAGAGGACCCCAAACUCUGAAUAUUUUAUUGUCUGAGUACUAUAUAAUAGUUUAAAACUUUCAACAACGGAUCUCUUGGUUCUG
rnacentral:misc_RNA from 1 species